rnacentral:rRNA from 1 species
UACGGGGGGAGCUAGCGUUGUUCGGAAUUAUUGGGCGUAAAGAGCGUGUAGGCGGUCUUAUAAGUUGGGAGUGAAAUCCCGGGGCUUAACCUCGGAACUGCUUCCAAAACUAUUUGACUAGAGUAUGCAAGAGGGUGACGGAAUUCCUAGUGUAGAGGUGAAAUUCUUAGAUAUUAGGAGGAACACCGGUGGCGAAGGCGGUCACCUGGGGCAUUACUGACGCUGAGACGCGAAAGCGUGGGGAGCAAACAGG